rnacentral:rRNA from 1 species
GGGGGGGCAAGCGUUGUUCGGAAUUACUGGGCGUAAAGGGCGCGCAGGCGGGCGGGAAAGUCUCUCGUGAAAUCCCACGGCUCAACCGUGGAACUGCGGGGGAUACUACUCGUCUUGAGUCCGGGGGAGGAGUGUGGAAUUCCCAGUGUAGCGGUGAAAUGCGUAGAUAUUGGGAGGAACACCGGUGGCGAAGGCGGCACUCUGGACCGGUACUGACGCUGAGGCGCGAAAGCUAGGGGAGCAAACGGGAUUAGAUACCCCGGUAGUCCUAGCUGUAAACGUUGAGCACUUGGUGUAGCGGGUAUCGACCCCCUGCUGUGCCGAAGCUAACGCAUUAAGUGCUCCGCCUGGGGAGUACGGUCGCAAGGCUG